AGUUGCCAUCAUUCAGUUGGGCACUCUAAAGGGACUGCCGGUGGAUAAGCCGCGAGGAAGGUGGGGGAUGACGUCAAGUCCUCAUGGCCCUUACCGGGCUGGGCUACACACGUGCUACAAUGGCGGUGACAGUGGGAUGCAAAGGGGCGACCCCUCGCAAAUCUCAAAAAGCCGUCUCAGUUCGGAUUGUACUCUGCAACUCGAGUGCAUGAAGUUGGAAUCGCUAGUAAUCGUGGAUCAGCAUGCCACGGUGAAUACGUUCCCGGGCCUU
rnacentral:rRNA from 1 species